ensembl:lncRNA
UGCUUUUAUUGACAAAAGAGUCACUUGCAACAUUAGACAAUGAUAUGUGGCUGAAUUACAUUGUCAUGGACAUUGUAUUGAGGUAAUUCUUUUGAAGAAUCAUAAAACUGCAAAUCAUAAUAUUCUUAGCAAUAAUUUUCUACUAAUUCUUUCUAGGUCUGGUCAAUUUUGAACUAGGACGUCAUAAAGGCGGAAAUCUUUGAUCUACCCAGUGCAUUUUUACACUAAAUUGAAAAACAGUGGAUUUUCAGGUGUCGUCAACUGGACAAAACAUGAGGACAUUUUUCGAAAGGACUAUCUUUUGAUAGUCGAGAAUCCUCUUGGUUACUUAACAGAAAUGUGGAAAAACACAAGAAAAACAACCUGGAUAUUUUCUGCAGAUUCUAUGCCAGCCCUGAAAUUGAGGGUACCCGAACAUCAAGGAAACAGAUCAGGGACAAAAUGCAAAGUUGUUUAGAAGGUGUAUUCUUUUUUAUUUUUUUAAUGAACAUUACAGAAUCCUUAUAAAUUAAUUCAGUUAAAAUUGUGUGCCACUAUUUUCUUAAAUUUUAGGAAGUUAUUUUAAAUACAGCAUAGGGUGCACAAGCAUAACUUUUGAUAUGGCAGAUGAUAUGUAUUUAACUUGUGCUACAUUAAUCUUGUAAUACUGGUUAUUGACUGUGGGCCCUAUCAUACACCCGGCGCAAUGCAACGCAAGGUGCAGCGCGAGUGUGUUUGCUAGUUUCAGUCCGGCACCGUUCGCAUUUUCCCAUCCAGCGCCACGUCGUUUAAUUAGCAAAUGCAUUUGCGCCCAUUUGUGCUCCCAUGGGCGUGCUGGUCUAAAAAAGAGGUGUGUUCAAGCGCAUUGCUAUUUUCAGGAGCUGAAAAUAGACUGUGCCAUAGAUCAACUCAAACCUAGUCUAAAGUCUGGCGCAAUGUUUUUUCUUUGUUAUUUAAAGAGCG